CUUGCUUAUGCACAGCAGUCUUCACAACACAUGACAUUUCAGGGAAACUUCAAAGGAGCAGCAGAGACAGCAGCCCGAGAUGAGGUUUACAUAUUGGGAGACAAUUGGGAGCUUAUUUGCGCUUAUCUUUUUUCAAGUUAAAAGGCAUGACAUCAACUGAAAACCUUCCUGAGGUUUGAAAGUCUACAUCUGAAAGCAGACGGGAUACUUUGUCUAAAUUCUACAUUUGUCUUAAUGUGCAGUUACACGUUGUCAGUUUACCCACCCGCAAUGAUGGUGAGAGCUCCGUGCAGCCUCACUUGUCCGUGACUUGGGUGUUAGUCACAUAUGUACAAAUUAACAUUUUAAUCAGUCUAAAUGAUAAGAACAGAGAACAAAGACAUAAUGAUACUUAGUUUUCUUUGCUUGUUUCUCUCAGUGUUGGAAAUGCCCUUUUUAAUGAUUAUUUUAUAACGGCCACACACAGAGCCUCUAACCAGAGACCCUGGCACAAAAGUGUGGUGAGAAAAGCUUGGACUGGGCACCUUAGUUAACUGCCACCUUGUUAUUUGGAACCAGCCAUUCUUGUGUGUUGCUUAGGAAAGUAACAGCAAAUGCUAAAAUCAACACUAAGGUGGAAUUGAUUCUGGAAAACUGGGUACCUUUUUCUUUUGUUAAUUUGGCCACUUAAUUCCAAUAAAGUGAGAUGUUUUAA